GUGCUCGCUUCGGCAGCACAUAUACUAAAAUUGGAAUGACACAGAGAAGAUAAGCAUGGCCCCUGUGCAAGGAUGACAUGCAAAUUCGUGAAGUGUUCCAUAUUUUU
rnacentral:snRNA from 2 species